rnacentral:rRNA from 1 species
CGCGGCCUAUCAGCUUGUUGGUGGGGUGAUUGCCUACCAAGGCGACGACGGGUAGCCGGCCUGAGAGGGUGUCCGGCCACACUGGGACUGAGAUACGGCCCAGACUCCUACGGGAGGCAGCAGUGGGGAAUAUUGCACAAUGGGCGCAAGCCUGAUGCAGCGACGCCGCGUGGGGGAUGACGGCCUUCGGGUUGUAAACCUCUUUCAGUAGGGACGAAGCGCAAGUGACGGUACCUACAGAAGAAGCACCGGCCAACUACGUGCCAGCAGCCGCGGUAAUACGUAGGGUGCGAGCGUUGUCCGGAAUUACUGGGCGUAAAGAGCUCGUAGGUGGUUUGUCGCGUUGUUCGUGAAAACUCACAGCUUAACUGUGGGCGUGCGGGCGAUACGGGCAGACUGGAGUACUGCAGGGGAGACUGGAAUUCCUGGUGUAGCGGUGGAAUGCGCAGAUAUCAGGAGGAACACCGGUGGCGAAGGCGGGUCUCUGGGCAGUAACUGACGCUGAGGAGCGAAAGCGUGGGGAGCGAACAGGAUUAGAUACCCUGGUAGUCCACGCCGUAAACGGUGGGUACUAGGUGUGGGUUUCCUUCCUUGGGAUCCGUGCCGUAGCUAACGCAUUAAGUACCCCGCCUGGGGAGUACGG